GAUGAAGAACGCAGCGAAAUGCGAUAAGUAAUGUGAAUUGCAGAAUUCAGUGAAUCAUCGAAUCUUUGAACGCACAUUGCGCCCGCCAGUAUUCUGGCGGGCAUGCCUGUUCGAGCGUCAUUUCAACCAUCAAGCCCCCGGCUUGUGUUGGGGACCUGCGGCUGCCGCAGGCCCUGAAAACCAGUGGCGGGCUCGCUAGUCACCCCGAGCGUAGUAAUACAUCUCGCUCAGGGCGUGCUGCGGGUUCCGGCCGUUAAAAAGCCUUAUUUACCCAAGGUUGACCUCGGAUCAGGUAGGAAGACCCGCUGAACUUAAGCAUAUCAAUAAGCGGAGGA
rnacentral:misc_RNA from 1 species